rnacentral:rRNA from 1 species
UACGAAGGGGCUAGCGUUGUUCGGAAUCACUGGGCGUAAAGCGCACGUAGGCGGAUCUUUAAGUCAGGGGUGAAAUCCCGAGGCUCAACCUCGGAACUGCCUUUGAUACUGGGGAUCUCGAGUCCGGGAGAGGUGAGUGGAACUGCGAGUGUAGAGGUGAAAUUCGUAGAUAUUCGCAAGAACACCAGUGGCGAAGGCGGACUCACUGGCCCGGUACUGACGCUGAGGUGCGAAAGCGUGGGAGCAACAGG